rnacentral:rRNA from 1 species
AUUGAACGCUGGCGGCAGGCCUAACACAUGCAAGUCGAGCGGAUGACGGGAGCUUGCUCCUUGAUUCAGCGGCGGACGGGUGAGUAAUGCCUAGGAAUCUGCCUGGUAGUGGGGGACAACGUUUCGAAAGGAACGCUAAUACCGCAUACGUCCUACGGGAGAAAGCAGGGGACCUUCGGGCCUUGCGCUAUCAGAUGAGCCUAGGUCGGAUUAGCUAGUUGGUGAGGUAAUGGCUCACCAAGGCGACGAUCCGUAACUGGUCUGAGAGGAUGAUCAGUCACACUGGAACUGAGCCACGGUCCAGACUCCGACGGGAGGCAGCAGUGGGGAAUAUUGGACAAUGGGCGAAAGCCUGAUCCAGCCAUGCCGCGUGUGUGAAGAAGGUCUUCGGAUUGUAAAGCACUUUAAGUUGGGAGGAAGGGCAGUAAGUUAAUACCUUGCUGUUUUGACGUUACCGACAGAAUAAGCACCGGCUAACUCUGUGCCAGCCGCCGCGGUAACAC